rnacentral:rRNA from 1 species
UACGUAGGGGGCUAGCGUUGUCCGGAAUCAUUGGGCGUAAAGCGCGCGUAGGCGGGCCGUUAAGUGAGAGGUGAAAUUCCAGGGCUCAACCCCGGAACUGCCUCUCAUACUGGUGGUCUUGAGUGAGGUAGAGAGAAGUGGAAUGGCUGGUGUAGCGGUGAAAUGCGUAGAUAUCAGUCGGAACACCGGUGGCGAAGGCGGCUUCUUGGGCCUUUACUGACGCUGAGGCGCGAAAGCCAGGGGAGCGAACGGG